AGUGAACGCUGGCGGCAGGCCUAAUACAUGCAAGUCGAGCGGCAGCACAGCAGAGCUUGCUCUGUGGGUGGCGAGUGGCGGACGGGUGAGGAAUACAUGGGAAUCUGCCCAGUCGUGGGGGAUAACGUAGGGAAACUUACGCUAAUACCGCAUGCGCCCUUCGGGGAAAGCCGGGGACCUUCGGGCCUGGCGCGAUUGGA
rnacentral:rRNA from 1 species